rnacentral:rRNA from 1 species
AGUCGGAUGUGAAAUCCCCGGGCUCAACCUGGGAACUGCAUUCGAAACUGGCAGGCUAGAGUCUUGUAGAGGGGGGUAGAAUUCCAGGUGUAGCGGUGAAAUGCGUAGAGAUCUGGAGGAAUACCGGUGGCGAAGGCGGCCCCUUGGACAAAGACUGACGCUCAGGUGCGAAAGCGUGGGGAGCAAACAGGAUUAGAUACCCUGGUAGUCCACGCCGUAAACGAUGUCGACUUGGAGGUUGUGCCCUUGAGGCGUGGCUUCCGGAACUAACGCGUUAAGUCGACCGCCUGGGGAGUACGGCCGCAAGGUUAAAACUCAAAUGAAUUGACGGGGGCCCGCACAAGCGGUGGAGCAUGUGGUUUAAUUCGAUGCAACGCGAAGAACCUUACCUACUCUUGACAUCCAGAGAACUUUCCAGAGAUGGAUUGGUGCCUUCGGGAACUCUGAGACAGGUGCUGCAUGGCUGUCGUCAGCUCGUGUUGUGAAAUGUUGGGUUAAGUCCCGCAACGAGCGCAACCCUUAUCCUUUGUUGCCAGCGGUUAGGCCGGGAACUCAAAGGAGACUGCCAGUGAUAAACUGGAGGAAGGUGGGGAUGACGUCAAGUCAUCAUGGCCCUUACGAGUAGGGCUACACACGUGCUACAAUGGCGCAUACAAAGAGAAGCGACCUCGCGAGAGCAAGCGGACCUCAUAAAGUGCGUCGUAGUCCGGAUUGGAGUCUGCAACUCGACUCCAUGAAGUCGGAAUCGCUAGUAAUCGUAGAUCAGAAUGCUACGGUGAAUACGUUCCCGGGCCUUGUACACACCGCCCGUCACACCAUGGGAGUGGGUUGCAAAAGAAGUAGGUAGCUUAACCUUCGGGAGGGCGCUUACCACUUUGUGAUUCAUGACUGGGGUGAAGUCGUAACAAGGUAACC